rnacentral:rRNA from 1 species
UGCGAAGGCAAGCGGAUCUCUUAAAGCCGUUCUCAGUUCGGACUGUAGGCUGCAACUCGCCUACACGAAGCUGGAAUCGCUAGUAAUCGCGGAUCAGCACGCCGCGGUGAAUACGUUCCCGGGCCUUGUACACACCGCCCGUCACACCAUGAGAGUCUGUAACACCCAAAGCCGGUGGGAUAACCUUUAUAGGAGUCAGCCGUCUAAGGUAGGACAGAUGAUUAGGGUGAAGUCGUAACAAGGUACC